rnacentral:misc_RNA from 1 species
UUAAGUUCAGCGGGUAGUCCUACCUGAUUCGAGGUCAACCUUGUAAAAGUCGGGGGUUUUACGGCGUGGGCACGACGGGCUCCGGUGCGAGGUGUUGCUACUACGCACGGGGGGCCGCGACGUGACCGCCACUGCAUUUGGGGGACGGCGGGCGGGGGGCUCCCGGGGGAGCCUCCGCCUUGUGCCGAUCCCCAACACCG